rnacentral:rRNA from 1 species
UAAAGGAAUUGACGGGGGCCCGCACAAGCGGUGGAGCAUGUGGUUUAAUUCGAAGCAACGCGAAGAACCUUACCAGGUCUUGACAUCCUCUGACAACCCUAGAGAUAGGGCUUCCCCUUCGGGGGCAGAGUGACAGGUGGUGCAUGGUUGUCGUCAGCUCGUGUCGUGAGAUGUUGGGUUAAGUCCCGCAACGAGCGCAACCCUUGAUCUUAGUUGCCAGCAUUCAGUUGGGCACUCUAAGGUGACUGCCGGUGACAAACCGGAGGAAGGUGGGGAUGACGUCAAAUCAUCAUGCCCCUUAUGACCUGGGCUACACACGUGCUACAAUGGGCAGAACAAAGG